GCCUUGGAGGGUUAGUGCGACUUAGUGCUUCCCUUCUAAGCACUAGGUCGCGGGUUCAAUUCCCGCCCGGGGCG
rnacentral:tRNA from 1 species